GCUCCAAUAGCGUAUAUUAAAGUUGUUGCAGUUAAAAAGCUCGUAGUUGAACCUUGGGCAAGGUGCAUCCGGUCGACCGAAAGGCCAGACUGGGUCGCCGAGCCUCUUUAGGGGGACUUGUGGCUUCGGCCUCAAGGCAACCGUGUUACUGUGAAGAAAUUAGAGUGUUUAAAGCAGGCUAUCGCUUGAAUACAUCAGCA
rnacentral:rRNA from 1 species